UAACAAUGAUUCCCUCAGUAACGGCGAGUGAACAGGGAAAAGCUCAAAGUUGGAACCUCCUAGCCCUAGGUUAGGCGGAUUGUAAACUAAAGCUCUUGGGUAGUACGGUUGGCCUGGUAAAAAAGUUUUCUGGAAAGAAGCGACAUAGAGGGUGAUAUCCCCGUCUUUGGCCAGAGCUCAAUCAUGCGUUUGCCCUUUAGCGAAGAGUCAGGUUGUUUGGGAAUGCAGCCUAAAAUGGGAGGUAAAUCUCUCCUAAAGCUAAAUAUUGACGAAAGACCGAUAGCGAACAAGUACCGUGAGGGAAAGAUGAAAAGCACUUUGAAAAGAGGGUCAAAAAGUACGUGAAAUUGCUGAAAGGGAACCGUAUGAAAUCAGUCUGAUGUGUUGGUAAUCAAUCUAGAUCUCGAUCUGGAUGCACUUGCCAAUGUAUUAGCCUGCGACAAUUUGAUUUGGAGGAAAAAAGAUGGGAGAAUGUGGCCUUGGUUUUCAAUCAAGGUGUUAUAGCUCCUGUCAAAAUACUUUGGAUUGGAUUGAGGAUCGCAGCGAGCCGCAAGGUAAGGGUCUCGGGCGCUUGGUUUGUUCAAAAAAGGAAUCUCUGCUUCGGGUGGUGCCUUUUUUGAACGAGCCAACUCGUUUGUUUCUCCUUUUUCUCGCUUAGGUCGUAGGCAUAAUGAUUUUAUAUGACCCGUCUUGAAACACGGACCAA
rnacentral:rRNA from 1 species